GGGGAUGAUAGGGUUCGACAGGAGUAUAAUUGUUUAAAUGGCAAGUAGAUGGCAAUCUUUAAAUGCAUUUAAAUAUAACUGGAAACAGAAAUUUACAAUUCGCUUAAUUUAAUUUAAUAGUAGCGAACUCUUAUAUAUUUUUUGCUUACGAAGAUAUAUAGGGGUAAUACCUAGUGAGCUAUAUUAUUGUAGUUCCUAUAUACAAUAAUGAAUAUUUAUAGGAUUGUUACUUAUUUGGUUGUUAGUCUCUUGGUAAGUAAUGAAAUAUCUAGACUGACUAAACUUGUAGAUGUUUAAAUUUAAUUUGCUUUUGGACAGGAGUUCAACUCUCCUCAUCUCCACCA
rnacentral:tmRNA from 1 species